rnacentral:misc_RNA from 1 species
GGAACUCGUGGCUGGGAAGAGGAGCGGCGCGGCCAUGGCAGAGCUGGGCGCAGAAGCUUGAAACCGAGCAGAGGGGAGCACGCGGCGCGCGCACAGAGCACAGAAGCUGGGCGCGGCCAUGGACAAACGUCAGGGAGCUUCGGCGGCUGGGCGCGUGGCGAAGAGAAGGAACGCUCGGCUGGGAGCUUCUGCCGGCGAGCAGGAAGAGUAGAGGAUGGACGCGACGUAGGGUUUGGGCGUCGAGCGGCCGAGCUGAGCAACAGCGGCCAUGGGAGACCAGAGAAGAAAGGCCUCGGCUGGGGAGGGAAAUCUGAGCUGGGGCGCGGCUCAAUCCGUGCUAGGCGAGCAGGGAUCCUAGGACGCGCGUGGGGAGCAGGGGCGCUUGGAAAGGGGCCUAGACGAGCUGGAGCUUGGAGCUUCGGGACGGCCUGGGCGCAUGGAAGAAGCUCCAGGGAGAGGGGCGCGCCACCAUGGGCGAGCUGGAGCGCCGAUAGAGGACAGCAGGAGGGAGAUGAAGCCGAGGAAACUGCGCAGCGGCCAGGCGAGUUGGGCGACCGCGGCAUUGGGGCUGGACGCGGGAAGACGUGCGCGGCCAGGUGAUGAACGCCCACCGGCCGACCCCGCGGAGCAGAGGCAGGGAAGAAGAUGCGCGCAAAUAAAAGGACCAGAGCGACGGCUG